rnacentral:rRNA from 1 species
UGCCGGCGACCGGCGGACGGGUGCGUAACGCGUAUGUAACCUACCUUUGACAGGGGGAUAACAUCGAGAAAUUGGUACUAAUACCCCAUAACAUCACCGGAGGCAUCUUCGGUGGUUGAAAACUCAGGUGGUCAGAGAUGGACAUGCGUUGUAUUAGCUAGUUGGUGAGGUAACGGCUCACCAAGGCGACGAUACAUAGGGGGACUGAGAGGUCAACCCCCCUCAUUGGUACUGAGACACGGACCAAACUCCUACGGAAGGCAGCAG